AUUGAACGCUGGCGGCAGGCCUAACACAUGCAAGUCGAGCGGAUGAAGGGAGCUUGCUCCUGGAUUCAGCGGCGGACGGGUGAGUAAUGCCUAGGAAUCUGCCUGGUAGUGGGGGAUAACGUCCGGAAACGGGCGCUAAUACCGCAUACGUCCUGAGGGAGAAAGUGGGGGAUCUUCGGACCUCACGCUAUCAGAUGAGCCUAGGCCGGAUUAGCUAGUUGGUGGGGUAAAGGCCUACCAAGGCGACGAUCCGUAACUGGUCUGAGAGGAUGAUCAGUCACACUGGAACUGAGACACGGUCCAGACUCCUACGGGAGGCAGCAGUGGGGAAUAUUGGACAGUGGGCGAAAGCCUGAUCCAGCCAUGCCGCGUGUGUGAAGAAGGUCUUCGGAUUGUAAAGCACUUUAAGUUGGGAGGAAGGGCAGUAAGUUAAUACCUUGCUGUUUUGACGUUACCAACAGAAUAAGCACCGGCUAACUUCGUG
rnacentral:rRNA from 1 species